AAAGUCGUAACAAGGUUUCCGUAGGUGAACCUGCGGAAGGAUCAUUACAAAUCCAAAACAAUAACCCGUUAAAAUGUUCUCGGCCUUGGUGAUACUAGUCAGUUGACUGGCGUCAAAGCGCGACUCUUCUUGCUAAUAGCACGAGAAUCGCUCUUAACCAGGGUUCGAAUUAAUGACUAUAUCAUGGACAUAUCUAACAGAGUCGUUAAAUCGACAAAACAAAAACAACUUUUAACAAUGGAUCUCUAGGCUCUU
rnacentral:misc_RNA from 1 species